rnacentral:rRNA from 1 species
UACGUAGGGUCCGAGCGUUGUCCGGAAUUAUUGGGCGUAAAGGGCUCGUAGGCGGUUUGUCGCGUCGGGAGUGAAAACCUACAGCUUAACUGUGGGCUUGCUUUCGAUACGGGCAGACUUGAGGCAUGCAGGGGAGAACGGAAUUCCUGGUGUAGCGGUGAAAUGCGCAGAUAGUCAGGAGGAACACCGGUGGCGAAGGCGGUUCUCUGGGCAUGUUCUGACGGCUGGAG